GGUCGGAGCAGAUCAGGAGAUGGGGGGCUUGGGGGAGGUGGUCGAAGGAGACGGGAGGUGAUCAAAUAGGGGCAGGGCAAAUCUAAGAGCAUAUGGGCUGCUUUGAUCGGGCCCAAAUUCGGGCUUGGGCCCGAGUCGGGCCCUAGCAGGACCAAAAGUCUGUUCAAGCCAGGCCCGAAAAUAAAAUGGAUCCUAUUUUUUGACCCAAAUCCGGCCCGAAUGAUUUCGGGUUGAGCCCAAAAUCCGGUCCAAAGCCGGCCCGAGCCCACUUCCAGCUCUACUUUCAAUUUUUUCUCAAUCUGAUUUCGAUUCUGAGGUAGAAUAAAAAUAAUUUAAUAUAUCUAAAACUCAAUCCUCACUCUCCCUUAAAGAUUCAAAUUAUCAUUUCGAUUGUAAUUUCGAUUAUGAACUAAAAGCUUCAGAGUAUUGAUCCUAAUCUAGUUGGAUUUUAAUCAAUUUCAAUUCUGAUUACAAGUCAAACAUCCUCUUGGUGUGUCUUCAU
rnacentral:lncRNA from 1 species